rnacentral:lncRNA from 1 species
AUAUGGAAACUGAGCCCUCACACAUGGACUGAAUUCUGACAAGCAGAGGAUAAAGGCAGAACAACAUGACUGAAGGCGAUGAGGAACAGCUGAUCACCUGUGGAAGUCAUUUGUCCUAAAUUGUCAUGGACAGACCAUGUGCCUUACAGCAAGAAAAUUCUGUGAAUAAACAGGAAGCCAGCCAGCCAGGGAAGAUGCUUUUGUGAUAUAUCCCAGCAUGCUGAUGACCCCAAGGAGGACCACUGGAUACCUAGCAAGGAGCUGGCUGCAGCAUACCAUGAAUCCUCACAGCAACUUAAUGAGGAAAAAGAAGAACUGAUUGAAGAGUGGCAACCAGAACCUCUUGUUCCUCCUGUCCCAAAAGACCAUCCUGCUCUCAACUACAACAUCGU